UAUUGGACAAUGGGCGCAAGCCUGAUCCAGCCAUGCCGCGUGAGUGAUGAAGGCCUCCCGGCCGUAAAGCUCUUUUAGCGGAGACGAUAAUGACGGUAUCCGCAGAAAAAGCCCCGGCCAACUUCGUGCCAGCAGCCGCGGUAAUACGAAGGGGGCUAGCGUUGCUCGGAAUCACUGGGCGUAAAGCGCACGUAGGUGGGUCGUUAAGUCGGGGGUGAAAUCCCGGAGCUCAACUCCGGAACUGCCUUCGAUACUGGCGACCUUCGAGUCCGGGAGAGGUGAGUGGAACUGCGAGUGUAGAGGUGAAAUUCGUAGAUAUUCGCAAGAACACCAGGGCGAAGGCGGCUCACGGCCCGGUACGACAUAGGGCAGGUGCUAG
rnacentral:rRNA from 1 species